CCUACGGGAGGCAGCAGUGAGGAAUAUUGGUCAAUGGGCGCGAGCCUGAACCAGCCAAGUAGCGUGAAGGAUGACUGCCCUACGGGUUGUAAACUUCUUUUAUAAAGGAAUAAAGUGAGGCCCGUGUGCCUUUUUGUCUGUACUUUAUGAAUAAGGAUCGGCUAACUCCGUGCCAGCAGCCGCGGUAAUCCGGAGGAUCCGAGCGUUAUCCGGAUUUAUUGGGUUUAAAGGGAGCGUAGAUGGUUUGUUAAGCUAGUUGUGAAAGUUCGCGGCUCAACCGUAAAAUUGCAAUUGAUACUGGCAGCCUUGAGUACAGUUGAGGUAGGCGGAAUUCGUGGUGUAGCGGUGAAAUGCUUAGAUAUCACGAAGAACUCCGAUUGCGAAGGCAGCCUACUAAACUGCCACUGACAUUGAUGCUCGAAAGUGUGGGUAUCAAACAGGAUUAGAUACCCGAGUAGUC
rnacentral:rRNA from 1 species